rnacentral:rRNA from 1 species
GACGAACGCUGGCGGCGUGCUUAACACAUGCAAGUCGAACGGAAAGGCCCUGCUUUUGUGGGGUGCUCGAGUGGCGAACGGGUGAGUAACACGUGAGUAACCUGCCCUUGACUUUGGGAUAACUUCAGGAAACUGGGGCUAAUACCGGAUAGGAGCUCCUGCUGCAUGGUGGGGGUUGGAAAGUUUCGGCGGUUGGGGAUGGACUCGCGGCUUAUCAGCUUGUUGGUGGGGUAGUGGCUUACCAAGGCUUUGACGGGUAGCCGGCCUGAGAGGGUGACCGGCCACAUUGGGACUGAGAUACGGCCCAGACUCCUACGGGAGGCAGCAGUACGGAAUAUUGCACAAUGGGCGGAAGCCUGAUGCAGCAACGCCGCGUGCGGGAUGACGGCCUUCGGGUUGUAAACCGCUUUCGCCUGUGACGAAGCGUGAGUGACGGUAAUGGGUAAAGAAGCACCGGCUAACUACGUG